rnacentral:rRNA from 1 species
GACGAACGCUGGCGGCGUGCCUAAUACAUGCAAGUCGAGCGAGCGGAACCAACAGAUUUACUUCGGUAAUGACGUUGGGAAAGCGAGCGGCGGAUGGGUGAGUAACACGUGGGGAACCUGCCCCUAAGUCUGGGAUACCAUUUGGAAACAGGUGCUAAUACCGGAUAAGAAAGCAGAUCGCAUGAUCAGCUUUUAAAAGGCGGCGUAAGCUGUCGCUAAGGGAUGGCCCCGCGGUGCAUUAGCUAGUUGGUAAGGUAACGGCUUACCAAGGCAACGAUGCAUAGCCGAGUUGGGAGACUCAUCGGCCACAUUGGGACUGAGACACGGCCCAAACUCCUACGGGAGGCCGCAGUAGGGACUCUUCCACAAUGGACGCAAGUCUGAUGGAGCAACGCCGCGUGAGUGAAGAAGGUUUUCGGAUCGUAAAGCUCUGUUGUUGGUAAAGAAGGAUAGAGGUAGUAACUGGCCUUUAUUUGACGGUAAUCAACCAGAAAGUCACGGCUAACUACGUG